rnacentral:snoRNA from 1 species
ACAGGAAAGUGUCCUCAAGAAGGUUGGGGUUUCCAGGUGGCAUGGGUGAGCACAGGGCUCAUUGCAGUGACGCACAGUCCCAUUCCAUGACAGUGGAGAUGAAGCCAGCUCUGGAGCUUGCACUUGCAUAUUCCUAUAGCUUCUCCGACUCUUAUGGACAAGGACUGAGGAGACAAAUCAUGUGGGAAACACUU